UACUUUGCAUCCAUGCAGAUUAAACAAAGAGACAUUCGGCUAUACAGAAGGACAUGGAUAGUGAUGCAGACGCUGUAAUCCUAGAAUUACCCAGUUCUUCAUCAUCAAGAGCCUGUGAUGUCCCAGAGCAAAGGAAGACAGAGAGUGUAUUUGUGCCUCAAGAUACCCCAAAUAAAGAAAGUGGAAAGUCUGAAGAGGAGGUAAAGGCAGUGGAAAGAGAACUAUUGGACUGCAUCACUUCUGGCACGGUACCUGGUAAAAAGAAGUGUGAAGACUGCAUCAGGUCAGCGCCUCGAAUCCAUAAGCUCAGAACGUGGGAAUCGGUCAAAUUUUACAAUAACAAUGUACAUACAUUUUAAAUUUACAUUUACAUAAAAAUUGGCCCAUGAGGCAAUUUGUUCCGGCUCUCCAAAUAAUGUGACCAAGACAUCAAAAAUAAAUUUAUUUCAGUUGAAAAACAGCCGCUAUAGUUAUGAAGGGAUGUGCGUUUGUUCAAUAUAGCACGAGCUGCAGAUGAAGACCACGCAGAGAGUGAGUCUCCUGACAAGCGAGUGGCACGAGCAGUUGAAAACAUUUGGAUACUUAAUCUUGAAGGCUUCUCAACACCGCAUUUCUGUUGCACGGAAUGAAACUGCUGCAACUAAACAAAGUUAUGCCAGCUGUGCGCUAGUCUAAAGUUCCGAGUUUAUAUACCAAGGCUAAUACGCACGCACACUGGAUUAACUAUAGCAGCGGGUCGUUCACAUAUCAAUUCGAGUUCGAUAUUUCCAGUAUUAGAAUAUAUGCCAAUAUGCGUGCGCAAGCGCCUUCCAGACGCACUGAGUAGAAAACAUCUCACACCGUAGCGGUGAGAGUUGUGCGUGGCUUUCAGUGCAAUGUAAACAAAAGAAAUGUUAGACGAAUUAUUAUAAAUUAUUCAAAUGAUUAUGCAUGUUAGACUGAAGAUAAUAACAGUUUUUUAAGUACUUUCCUAAUAUACAGCUUAAAUUUACAUUAGAACCGUGAAACCAUGAUUAUUCUUCAGACUAUAUAAUCGUAGAACCAAAAUCUAUAAUUGUUGCAUCUGUAAUUGUUAC